rnacentral:rRNA from 1 species
UGGCGGCAGGCCUAACACAUGCAAGUCGGACGGAAACGAUAGGAGCUUGCUCUAGGNCGUCGAGUGGCGGACGGGUGAGUAAUGCAUGGGAAUCUGCCCUUUAGUUGGGGAUACCGUAUGGAAACGUACGUUAAUACCGAAUGAGAUCUACGGAUGAAAGGUGCCCCUCUUCUUGAAAGGUAUCGCUAAAGGAUGAGCCCAUGUUAGAUUAGCUAGUUGGUGAGGUAAUGGCUCACCAAGGCAUCGAUCUAUAGCUGGUUUGAGAGGAUGAUCAGCCACACUGGGACUGAGACACGGCCCAGACUCCUACGGGAGGCAGCAGUGGGGAAUAUUGCACAAUGGAGGAAACUCUGAUGCAGCCAUGCCGCGUGUGUGAAGAAGGCCNGAGGGUUGUAAAGCACUUUUAGUGAGGAGGAAAGGUUAGUAGUUAAUACCUGCUAGCUGUGACGUUACUCACAUAA